CAUGAAGCUGGAAUCGCUAGUAAUCGCGGAUCAGAAUGCCGCGGUGAAUACGUUCCCGGGUCUUGUACACACCGCCCGUCACACCAUGGGAGCCGGGAAUGCCCGAAGUCGGUGACCUAACCGAAAGGAAGGAGCCGCCGAAGGCAGGUCUGGUAACUGGGGUGAAGUCGUAACAAGGUAAC
rnacentral:rRNA from 1 species